rnacentral:rRNA from 1 species
AUUGAACGCUGGCGGAAUGCUUUACACAUGCAAGUCGAACGGCAGCACGGACUUCGGUCUGGUGGCGAGUGGCGAACGGGUGAGUAAUGUAUCGGAACGUGCCCAGUCGUGGGGGAUAACGUAGUGAAAAUUACGCUAAUACCGCAUACGAUCUAUGGAUGAAAGCGGGGGAUCGCAAGACCUCGCGCGAUUGGAGCGGCCGAUAUCAGAUUAGGUAGUUGGUGGGGUAAAGGACCACCAAGCCAACGAUCUGUAGCUGGUCUGAGAGGACGACCAGCCAACCUGGAACUGAGCAACGGUCCAGACUCCUACGGGAGGCAGCAGUGGGGAAUUUUGGACAAUGGGCGAAAGCCUGAUCCAGCCAUUCCGCGUGCAGGAUGAAGGCCCUCGGGUUGUAAACUGCUUUUGUACAGAACGAAAAGGUUUCUACUAAUACUAGGAGCUCAUGACGGUACUGUAAGAAUAAGCACCGGCUAACUACGUGCCAGCCGCCGCAGUAA